AUUGAACGCUGGCGGCAUGCUUUACACAUGCAAGUCGAACGGCAACGAGGAGAAGCUUGCUUCUCUGUCGGCGAGUGGCGGACGGGUGAGUAUAGCAUCGGAACGUGCCAAGUAGUGGGGGAUAACCAAACGAAAGUUUGGCUAAUACCGCGUAAGCUCUAAGGAGGAAAGUAGGGGACCUAAAUAAGGCCUUACGCUAUUUGAUCGGCCGAUGUCGGAUUAGCUAGUUGGUGGGGUAAUGGCUCACCAAGGCAAUGAUCCGUAGCGGGUCUGAGAGGACGAUCCGCCACACUGGGACUGAGACACGGCCCAGACUCCUACGGGAGGCAGCAGUGGGGAAUUUUGGACAAUGGGGGAAACCCUGAUCCAGCCAUGCCGCGUGUAUGAAGAAGGCCUUAGGGUUGUAAAGUACUUUUGUUAGGGAAGAAAAGCUAGUUUUUAAUAAAAAUUAGUGAUGACGGUACCUAAAGAAUAAGCACCGGCUAACUACGUG
rnacentral:rRNA from 2 species